rnacentral:rRNA from 1 species
AUUGAACGCUGGCGGCAUGCCUUACACAUGCAAGUCGAACGGCAGCACGGGAGCAAUCCUGGUGGCGAGUGGCGAACGGGUGAGUAAUAUAUCGGAACGUGCCCAGUCGUGGGGGAUAACGUAGCGAAAGCUACGCCAAUACCGCAUACGAUCUAUGGAUGAAAGCGGGGGAUCGCAAGACCUCGCGCGAUUGGAGCGGCCGAUAUCAGAUUAGGUAGUUGGUGAGGUAAAGGCUCACCAAGCCGACGAUCUGUAGCUGGUCUGAGAGGACGACCAGCCACACUGGGACUGAGACACGGCCCAGACUCCUACGGGAGGCAGCAGUGGGGAAUUUUGGACAAUGGGCGCAAGCCUGAUCCAGCAAUGCCGCGUGCAGGAUGAAGGCCUUCGGGUUGUAAACUGCUUUUGUACGGAACGAAACGGCUCUUUCUAUAAAGAGGGCUAAUGACGGUACCGUAAGAAUAAGCACCGGCUAACUACGUGCCAGCCGCCGCCGUAA